CUCGCUUGGGAUGACCUGCGCGCAGGUUCGUCCUUGUUCCGUGAGGCGGCAAGCUUCUUCUACGUGGGAAUCCGCAGAUCCGGGACUCCUACCUUGCGGCUACUCUUUCUUUCAACUCUCAGAAGUUGAAUCGAGGAAGAAGAAAUUUGGACACAUAAAGGCACCAGGGAUGUUCACACACAGAGGAAAGACUGUGUGAGGACAUAGUGAGAAAGUGACCAUCUGCAAGCCAAGGAGAGAAGCCUGAGAAGAAAAUAAACCUGAUGACACCUUGAUCUUGGAUUUCUAGCCUUCAAAAAUACACCAUGGGGCCUGGUGUGGAGACUGGAUUGAGUGGAUCCAGCAAAAACAGUGAAAUGAGGCAGGAGGCCAUUUCACUGACUGAGUGAGAGAGCACAGCAGCUAACUGUGAAGAAGACUUCUGCAUAUAUUUUGGAGAUGGAGCAAAAGCCCACAAAAUUAUUCAAACAAGCCUUUCACACCUUCAUGCAGGAGCUAAGGGUCAUCUAUACUCUUGUCACUACGAAGCUUGGUUUCAACAGCUCAUGCUGGUCCACUCUGUUCCUGAGUGCAAUCCUGUGCAGCCCUGCAUGGUGUGCACUAUCCACAACCCCUAAGGCCUUUUCCUGAACAGCCAAUCGCUUGAAGGACCAGCAAAAGAAGCUAUUUUGACAAUUUGGCUGAACUCGUGGAAAUUUCAGACUGGCCCAGAUGGUGAGACUCAGCUGUUGUGUGAAACAGCAACUGGUACUUGACAUUAGAGAUCAGCAAAAGCAUCUGGGCUCAUCUGGUCUUCACAGUAAUCUGGCAAGAAGCCAAAGGGAAAGUGAAGCAGGACUGACAUGGACAGUUAACAAGGCCUCCCAGCUGACCCUCGAAGAACAUCUAGAGAAGCCAUGGAUACCACAGAAUCAUGUGAGAAACAAACUCAUGAGAGACCAUUAUUUCAUAGAAUAAAACUUUAGGACUAGGAGGGAUCUGAGGAGACGAUCUAGUGCAGUCCUUCGACAUGUACAGCUACUUCCCUGUCAUCAUUAAUUUUGUCAAAGACAUUGCAAAAUAGUAACCAGAAGUCCAAUCUUUGCUAGUUGAAACCUCUCGGUAAAGUUUGGGUGUAUGUUAAGAUUCUUAAAAAAUUGACUUUAUACUAAAACCAUACCUAUUUUUUCAGACCCAUUAUCCCCUGACCUAAGUAUUAGUGUGAUUCAUACUCUGUAUGUGUAUGUGAAUACAUCUUACAUACUAUAAACCCAUCUCUUGUCAAUAUUUAUAUGAGAGCAGUAUUUCCAAGAAUAUGGAAUAGACAGAUGUCGCCAAAACACACAUUUGGCUAAGUCUUAGACAAAGAUCUGAUCAUUCACAUUUUUUAAAAUUGAGCUAUAGCUUUAUAAAGUACACAAAUUUUAAGUGAACAGCUCAU